UACGUAGGGGGCAAGCGUUGUCCGGAUUUAUUGGGCGUAAAGAGCGUGUAGGCGGCCAGGUAGGUCUGCUGUGAAAACUCGAGGCUUAACCUCGAGCUGUCGGCGGAAACCAUCUGGCUAGAGUCCGGAAGAGGCGAGUGGAAUUCCUGGUGGUAGCGGUGAAAUGCGCAGAUAUCAGGAGGAACACCGAUGGCGAAGGCAGCUCCGCUGGGACGUAACUGACGCUGGAGACGCGAAAGCGUGGGAGCAAAC
rnacentral:rRNA from 1 species